UACGAAGGGGGCUAGCGUUGUUCGGAAUUACUGGGCAUAAAGCGUGCGCAGGCGGCCAUCCAAGUCGGUGGUGAAAUCCUGGAGCUCAACUCCAGAACUGCCUUCGAUACUGGGAGUCUCGAGUCCGGGAGAGGUGAGUGGAACUGCGAGUGUAGAGGUGAAAUUCGUAGAUAUUCGCAGGAACACCAGUGGCGAAGGCGGCUCACUGGCCCGGUACUGACGCUGAGGUGCGAAAGCGUGGGGAGCAAACAGG
rnacentral:rRNA from 1 species